rnacentral:rRNA from 1 species
AUUAAAUCAGUUAUUAUUUAUUUGAUAAUCGAAAGUUACAUGGAUAACCGUGACAAAUUACAGCUAAUACAUGCAUUCAGACCUGGUCCAAGGGUCGUAAUUAUUAGUAUUAAACCUCUUCCGCAAGGAGUGUGAUGAAUCAUAAUAAUCGAACGAAUCGCAGAAUUCUGCGAUAAAUCAUUCAAGUUUCUGCCCUAUCAGCUUUGGAUGGUAGUGUAUUGGACUACCAUGGCAGUCACGGGUAACGGAGAAUUAGGGUUCGAUUCCGGAGAGGGAGCCUGAGAAACGGCUACCACAUCUACGGAAGGCAGCAGGCGCGAAAAUUGCCCAAUCCCGACACGGGGAGGCAGUGACAAGAAAUAACAACUCUUGGAUUUCUAAGAAGUGUAAUGAGGAUAAUUUACAACCCUUACCGAAAGCAAUUGGAGGGCAAGUCUGGUGCCAGCAGCCGCGGUAAUUCCAGCUCCAAUAGCAUAUAUUAAAGUUGUUGCAGUUAAAAAGCUCGUAGUUGAAGUUCUGGCUGUUCGAUCCUCGAGCUCUGUAGCCGAGGCUUCGACAGUCAUCCGCUUGCAAAUAUAUGUUCGCCUUUAACCGGGCGGCUAUAUGAGUAAGCAUUUUACCUUGAGAAAAACAGAGUGUUCCAGGCAGGUAUGUCCGGAAUGCGUUAGCAUGGAAUAAUAGAAUAUGACUGAAGUCGAUUUAUUGGUUUGAGGCUUUAGUAAUGAUUAAUAGGAACAGUCGGGGGCAUUGGUACUUGACAGUCAGAGGUGAAAUUCUAGGAUUUGUCAAAGACUAACAAAUGCGAAAGCAUUUGCCAAGGAUGUUUUCAUUAAUCAAGAACGAAAGUUAGGGGAUCAAAGACGAUCAGAUACCGUCCUAGUCUUAACUAUAAACUAUACCGACUCGGAUUCGGAUGAAUCAAAAAGUUCAUUCGGGACCGUAGGAGAAAUCAAAGUUUUUGGGUUCUGGGGGAAGUAUGGUCGCAAGGCUGAAACUUAAAGGAAUUGACGGUUUUGCACCACCAUGGAGUGGAGUCUGCGGCUUAAUUUGACUCAACACUGGGAAACUCAUCAGGGCAAGAAGAUUUUAGGAUUGACAGAUUGAGAGUUCUUUCUUGAUUGGUCUAGUGGUGGUGCAUGGCCGUUCUUAGUUGGUGGAGUGAUUUGUCUGGUUAAUUCCGUUAACGAACGAGACCUUAACCUGCUAACUAGUAUCGGGAUCUCAAAUCCCGAUUACUUCUUAGAGGGACUAUGUGAUGUAAUCACAUGGAAGUUUGAGGCAAUAACAGGUCUGUGAUGCCCUUAGAUGUCCUGAGCUGCACGCGUACUACAAUGGUGCUUCCAACGAGCAUUUCCUGAUCCGAAAGGAAUUGGGUAAUCUUUUCAGUGAGCACCGUGCUUGGGAUUGAUCUUUGUAAUUAUGGAUCAUGAACUAGGAAUUCCUAGUAAGCGCUAGUCAUCAACUAGUGCUGAUUACGUCCCUGCAAAAUGUACACACCGCCCGUCGCUUUUACCGAUUGAGUGCUCAGGUGAACCUUCUUGAUAGAGCAAUCUAAAAAUUAAGUAAACCUUAGCACUUAGAGGAAAAACAAGUCGUAACAAGGUUUUGGUAGAACAAAGAUUUUUGUUAUUAAAGUCCUUCUACAGGUUUGCCGCCACGAAAGCCUUUGCAGCCAGAAAUGGUUUGUCUCAGCGACUAAAAAUAAUUAGAGUAAUUAAAUGCAAGUUGGGUUUUUUUAAAAUUAAGAAAAACCAGCAAUCUCUUCAAACUGCGGGAAAAUCCUUAGAGCUAUUGACUACCGCGGCAUGUUGGUGACAGCAUGUGCAGCAGUUCGGGUAACUCCCUUACGGAUGGUAAAAAGGUCAAUAGAUUGGACAAUCCGCCACCAAGCCUCUUAUUUUUAUUAAGAGGAAGGCUCACAGACUGUAAGGAGAGAGGUCUUUGUUGAUAAAAAGGCUUAAUAGACAGUCGGUCCCUGAGAGAAAUCUCAGUUCAAUGUGGAGGAAUCUACUGGGAGGAAAUGCCUGUAGAGGAG